UGUGGGAGAGGAACAUGGGCUCAGGACAGCAGGUGUCAGCUUGCCUGACCCUCAUGUCGCCCCUGUAG
ensembl:miRNA